UAGCUGCACUAGAAACUGGGAAGAUGCAAAAAGUAUCACUCUUAAAUCAACUUGACACCAGCGAAAGUUCAUAUUUCAUAAAGAAGAAUUGAUAAUCAAAGACUGUGACUCGGGCUGCCUGUGGGUGAAAGCUGGGUUUCCACCACAGUUGAGAUACCAUGGGCAAGUUUUGCACUGGGGAGAAACUUAAGUUUUCUUACAUGAACAAGAGUUGCUGUGAUGUUUUACUAGCAUAUGUGAAAUUCCCGAAGAUUAUGAUAGUGAAGAACAUCUUAGAAAUACUGUGAAUUGAAAACAGCGAAGAAGACACAAAAUGGAGCUCAUAAACCUCAUCCAGCCAGCAGAAGACACAAUGCUGUCAGGGUAAGAAUAAGCUGAAUUU
rnacentral:lncRNA from 1 species